rnacentral:rRNA from 1 species
CAGCCGCCGCGGGAAUACAGAGGGUGCGAGCGUUAAUCGGAUUUACUGGGCGUAAAGCGUGCGUAGGCGGCUUCUUAAGUCGGAUGUGAAAUCCCUGAGCUUAACUUAGGAAUUGCAUUCGAUACUGGGAAUCUAGAGUAUGGGAGAGGAUGGUAGAAUUCCAGGUGUAGCGGUGAAAUGCGUAGAGAUCUGGAGGAAUACCGAUGGCGAAGGCAGCCAUCUGGCCUAAUACUGACGCUGAGGUACGAAAGCAUGGGGAGCAAACAGGAUUAGAUACCCCCGUAGUCCCUGUCUCUUAUAC